UACGUAGGGUGCAAGCGUUAAUCGAAUUACUGGGCGUAAAGCGUGCGCAGGCGGUUGUGCAAGACAGAUGUGAAAUCCCCGGGCUUAACCUGGGAAUUGCAUUUGUGACUGUACGGCUAGAGUGUGUCAGAGGGGGGUAGAAUUCCACGUGUAGCAGUGAAAUGCGUAGAGAUGUGGAGGAAUACCGAUGGCGAAGGCAGCCCCCUGGGAUAACACUGACGCUCAUGCACGAAAGCGUGGGGAGCAAACAGG
rnacentral:rRNA from 1 species